GAUGUGUAAAUUUAUGUGCGUGCACACAUGUGUGCUUGUGUAAAUUUAUGCAUUUAAGUUAAGCCAUUGACAUAUGGAUAUGGAGCCAACUUAAUUUCCUAUGAUUCACGUGAACUGAAAAUUGCAAUUUGUUAAUCAAGUAUUGAUGAUGGUUACUAAAUGACAGGUACAUUUGUCCAGAUUAUGUAAAUCCUUCUGAAUGACAGUACAUACACUAGUCUAACUGGCAGUGGUAGAAAAUUGCAGCACAAUGCAAUAUACAACUGAUCAAACCAAGUGAUACCGAGAGGCCAUUUUUAUGGACAACAACAAGAAGCCUUUCAUGUUUACCAUAUAGGACGAUCUAACAGACAAUGAAGGGGUUGUACUACUACAACUGUUGCACGAGCACAUUGUUAUUCUUGCAAAACGAGUAGUUGUUACAGUAUACCAUCGCAGGCAAAAGACAACGAACAAAUGCUCUUCGCUUAUACUUUGAGAAGCUCAUCUGAAUCAUCUUCAUCCCUCAAUCUUGCAUCUGUUGACAAUGAAACAAUAUCUAUCUCGGUCAUUCCUUCAUUGUUGUGUAGAAUGAGUUUAAAAUAUGACUUUCACUUUCUUUGUCAAUACUGACCAACUGCUCCAUAGUGAGAUUUCUCCACUAAAAAAAAUGCUAAUAUCUCUUUUGAGUUGUGAUCUGACAACAAUAGACAUGGAAACAUUGGCUGAAAAAAUAUUAGCAAUGAGAGCUGAACAAGUGUAUGAGACAGUCAUUGUCCAGGUACUUCGUAUUAUCUCUUUCGAGUUGUGAUAUGCAUAAGUGUUUGUUCUCUACUGACAAAUGAAUCUGCCUUUUUCUUUGCUGAUUGUAACCUCUGUGAGCUUCAUUUUUCUUAAAGUUUUGAUAGAAUGAAAUUUUGCAUUUUAAUGUGGAUCAGUAGCCUAUAUGUUGUCUUGGGAAGGUACUGCCUUCAAGAUGAAUUAGCUUUGCAAGUGAUUCUUUGUUUCUUUUAGAUGUCUCUUGUCUUUAAAAUGUUGAAAUUUAUAAAGAGUUGUCUUCUAGCAGUCCAUUUAUGCCUAAGGGAAAUUACACCAGCAUUCCAUUUUGUUACUCGCUGUUUUUCAUAACAGUACCACUACAUUGGGAAGGGACUGGGAAGGUAUUGUUAAAAGUGACUAGUAUUGAGCAUAUUAAAUACAUGAUUUAUUUCACUAACUUAUUUUUAUUUUGAAUGUGAAGG